UGAGAAGAUGAUGGAUAGUGAAAAUCUGGAGGGACAGUGAACCACAUUUCAAGCCAGCGAACUCUGGAUGGAGAGCAGGGUGGAGGGCCAUCUUCAAAGAAACUGAGAAAGACCCUGACUUCGUGUCAAGACGAGCAGCCAGCGACAUGAACCAGUGUCUUCCUGACAUCGAGUAAAUAGAGUGCCAGGAAGUGUAACCGGAAAAACACAGCGGCAGCUCAAGAGCAGGCGCUUCAGACACCUCCCUGAGAUUAAGCACUUGUUGAGGACAAAAAAAAUGGACAUGUUACUAUUUACGUGAUCCAAAAAGAGUAAGAAUCACAAAUAAAGAUUGUUGAGAAAUAUUUAGGUCAACAAAAACAUUAAACACAAAAGACCUCAUGAA